rnacentral:tRNA from 1 species
UCGUUUUGGGCCAGAAUGUUGGUGGUGGCCUUGUAAGUCAAAGGUAGGUGGUUUACGUAGCCUAGAACGAU